rnacentral:rRNA from 1 species
UACGAAGGGGGCUAGCGUUGCUCGGAAUGACUGGGCGUAAAGGGCGCGUAGGCGGCUUACAUAGUUAGGCGUGAAAUUCCUGGGCUCAACCUGGGGACUGCGUCUAAUACAUGUAGGCUUGAGUGUGAAAGAGGGUCGUGGAAUUUCCAGUGUAGAGGUGAAAUUCGUAGAUAUUGGAAAGAACACCGGUGGCGAAGGCGGCGACCUGGUUCAUUACUGACGCUGAGGCGCGAAAGCGUGGGGAGCAAACAGGAUUAGAUACCCUGGUAGUCCACGCUGUAAACGAUGUGUGCUGGAUGUUGGGGUGCUUAGCACUUCAGUGUCGUAGCUAACGCGGUAAGCACACCGCCUGGGGAGUACGGCCGCAAGGUUGAAACUCAA